UACGGAGGGUGCGAGCGUUGUCCGGAAUCACUGGGCGUAAAGGGCGCGUAGGCGGCCUGGUAAGUAGGGGGUGAAAUCCUGCGGCUUAACCGCGGGGCUGCCUUCUAAACUGUCAGGCUCGAGCACGGUAGAGGCAGAUGGAAUUCCCGGUGUAGCGGUGGAAUGCGUAGAGAUCGGGAAGAACAUCAGUGGCGAAGGCGGUCUGCUGGGCCGUUGCUGACGCUGAGGCGCGACAGCGUGGGGAGCAAACAGG
rnacentral:rRNA from 1 species